GUGCUUGUUUCGGCAGCCCAUACACUAAAAUUGGAAUGAUACAGAGAAGAUUAGCAUGGCCCUUGUGCCAGGAUGACAUGCAAAAUUACAUUAAAGCAAUUAUUCCUU